AGAAUCAACGCUGGCGGCGUGCCUAACACAUGCAAGUCGAACGAGAAAGGGUAGCAAUACCUGAGUAAAGUGGCGCACGGGUGAGUAACACGUGACUAACCUACCCUGGAGUGGGGGAUAACUGAGGGAACCUUAGCUAAUACCGCAUAACACCUACGGGUCAAAGGAGCAAUUCGCUUCAGGAGGGGUCGCGGCCGAUUAGUUAGUUGGCGGGGUAAUGGCCCACCAAGACAGUGAUCGGUA
rnacentral:rRNA from 1 species